AGAUGAGCUGACAGACCCUGGCUGAGCAGGAAGUGGCAGGGUCAGGAAAAGCUAGGCCACAAGUUUUCCCUUGAGAGCCUUAGAGUCUAGCCCUGUCGCCCAGGCUGGAGUGCCAUGGUUUGAACUCUACUCACCGCAACCUCCACCUCCCAGGUUCAAAUGAUUCUCCUGCCUCAGCCUCCUGAAUAUCUGGGAUUACAGCCUAGGAAGAGAGAGAAUGCCGAAAGACUUCUAAUGUAUGGAGUUUAAACAUCAGAUGGUGAUUGAUUGCUAUUAAUUUAUGUCAGCAAAGGAGGAGAAGAAAUACGUAAAACUGCCUCUGAAGAAUUUACAUUAAACACCAAAAGAAUCUGACUCUGAAAAUGAAGAAACAAGGAAUAUUGUUUGUUUUGGGAAUCAAAAAAAAAAAAAACUUCCCAUUUGAGUACACAAUUUCCUAAACAAGAUACAUGAUAAUUCCAUACACUAUGCUUUCCGAAGAAACUUUGUAAAACGUAUUUUCAUUAUUCAAAACUUGAAAACACAGAAACAAUAUGAUGCAAAAAAUUAUCUUUAGCAUUAUUCCACUAAGAUAAUUCAUUUUAACAUCCAUAUAUUCAUUAUUAUGUAAAAUACCUAUCAGUAUGUGGGUAUAUCUUUGUGUGUAUAUUUUAACAAAACAAAAUUCAAUAAAAAUUGAAAUACAGAAAUGACAAAAACACACAAAAAAUAUAAAUUAUUUCCAUUGUAGCAUAUAUUACCUUUUUCACCUAACAUUAUACUGUAGGAAUAUAUUCUUUCAUCAUUCAAUGCUUUUGAAAAUAUAAUAAUAUUCCAUUUUAAGGACAUGCUAUAAUUUAGUUCAUUAGUUUUUAAACUUUUAGAUUAUCUCAUUUUGUCAUCAUUUAAAAAAAGUGUUCCUGGAUGUCCUUUUGCAUAGACUUUUGAAUGUAUUUCUGACUAUUUUCUUAACCUGUCCUGUACUUCUGCAAGUAGAACUGCUUGAGCAGAGAUUAGGAGCAAUUUUAAGGUUUUUCAAAAAUCUUGACAAACUAUUCUGCAGGAAAAAUGUAUCUUGUUACCAUCAGCAUUUUUAAGUAACUAGUGACUAAUUGUAAAAAUAAUUGUGUUUCCUUGUAUUUAAGCCUUGCGCUAUAGAUUUUAAAAAUUUGUCCUUUUUUUUUUUUCAUUUGUAAAAAAAAGCCAUCUAAAAGACCUUAGAACCUGGUAUCAGCUGAAGCUUACUAAACCAUAUCAAGAAGAUCAUGUCAUUCUCAAGAAAAGCAUGUUUCAAAUAAAAAGGAAAUGUCAGCCCUGAGCGUUUUUAUUAACCAUCUCCCCAUCUGACUUCAGAGACAGCUUUAGCUGACCACUUCCUCUCUCGGGUUUAUUUGUAUUAGAAAUAAGUGGAUUCAUUAACUGUGCCACUUGGUGGUCAGGCCAGGCCUGCCAGUGUCCAAUAACAGGUAAUGGUUGUAUUUUUCACGGGGUGACUGAUGUUUACUUUGUUGAUGGCCCCAGGAGCUCAUGUAAUCUGAGAUAGGUCUUUGUUUACUUCUUGUUUUACUGAUAUGCUGACCCAUUUGAAACUAGCGAGAAAGAAAAAUAAACAUUCUGGAAUAUGGUACCUGAAGUCACUCUUCCUUAGUGGCUUUAUUGUAACCUCUUCAAAGGCUUUUGUUAACCCACUCUUUUCCCAGCAAAAAACCCUGAUCUGGUCUCUUUUCCAAUUAAACCAAAAGCAAUAUCACACCAAAUAAGCAAACAGAAAAUAUUGAAAUUACCACUUAAAGAGAGUUUUAUCUGGGGUUUAAUUGUGUGUGUACUCAAGCGUUUAGUGUAGGUCAUUUGCUAAUGACAUCUAGUAAUUUUUAAAAACUGGAUAAAACUGAUACUGAGCCUGUCUACAGCAAUUUAACUAUUUUGGGGGAGUAUAAAGUUAGAUUUGUCUAUACUGACUUGUUUGCUCCAUUUUAAAAACUGUGUUGGAAUGAUUUAUUAUGGAUGAUCCAAAAUAAACGUGAAGUGAGGAAACUA
ensembl:lncRNA HULC hepatocellular carcinoma up-regulated long non-coding RNA